UGGGGAAUCUUAGACAAUGGGGGAAACCCUGAUCUAGCCAUGCCGCGUGAGCGAUGAAGGCCUUAGGGUUGUAAAGCUCUUUCAGCUGGGAAGAUAAUGACGGUACCAGCAGAAGAAGCCCCGGCUAACUCCGUGCCAGCAGCCGCGGUAAUACGGAGGGGGCUAGCGUUGUUCGGAAUUACUGGGCGUAAAGCGCACGUAGGCGGAUUAGUCAGUCAGAGGUGAAAUCCCAGGGCUCAACCCUGGAACUGCCUUUGAUACUGCUAGUCUUGAGGUCGAGAGAGGUGAGUGGAAUUCCGAGUGUAGAGGUGAAAUUCGUAGAUAUUCGGAGGAACACCAGUGGCGAAGGCGGCUCACUGGCUCGAUACUGACGCUGAGGUGCGAAAGCGUGGGGAGCAAAACAGGAUUAGAUACCCUGGUAGUCCACGCCGUAAACGAUGAAUGCCAGUCGUCGGGUUGCAUGCAAUUCGGUGACACACCUAACGGAUUAAGCAUUCCGCCUGGGGAGUACGGUCGCAAGAUUAAAACUCAAAGGAAUUGAC
rnacentral:rRNA from 1 species